UGCAGUCGAGGGGUAACAGGGAAGCUUGCUUCCGCUGACGACCGGCGCACGGGAGCGUAACGCGUAUGCAACCUACCUCUUACAGGGGAAUAGCCCGAAGAAAUUCGGAUUAAUACCCCAUGGUAUUACAGAUUCGCAUGAUGAAGUAAUUAAAGAUUUAUCGGUAAGAGAUGGGCAUGCGUCUGAUUAGAUUGUUGGUGAGGUAACGGCUCACCAAGUCGACGAUCAGUAGGGGUUCUGAGAGGAAGAUCCCCCACACUGGCACUGAGAUACGGGCCAGACUCCUACGGGAGGCAGCAGUAGGGAAUAUUGGUCAAUGGAGGCAACUCUGAACCAGCCAUGCCGCGUGUAGGAAGAAUGCCUUCUGGGUUGUAAACUACUUUUAUAUAGGAAGAGAACGCCAUGCGUGGUAAUAUGACGGUACUAUAUGAAUAAGCACCGGCUAACUCCGUGCCAGCAGCCGCGGUAAUACGGAGGGUGCAAGCGUUGUCCGGAUUUAUUGGGUUUAAAGGGUGCGUAGGCGGUUUAUUAAGUCGGAGUUGAAAUCCCACAGCUUAACUGUGGAACUGGCUCCGAUACUGGUUAACUUGAGUAUGGUUGAGGUAGGCGGAAUUUAAGAUGUAGCGGUGAAAUGCAUAGAUAUCUUAAAGAACACCAAUUGCGUAGGCAGCUUACUGGACCAUAACUGACGCUGAGGCACGAAAGCGUGGGUAGCGAACAGGAUUAGAUACCCUGGUAGUCCACGCCGUAAACGAUGAUUACUCGAUGUCUGCGAUACACAGUAG
rnacentral:rRNA from 1 species